rnacentral:tRNA from 1 species
GGGCAUGUGGCGGAAUUGGUAUACGCGCACGACUCAGACUCGUGUGGAGCAAUCCUUGGAGGUUCGAGUCCUCUCAUGCCCA